AAAAAAAAAAAUGAACACUAAUAAAUACAUAAAUUUUGGAUUGCUAUUAUUAUAUGAUACUGUGUAUAAAAUUAUUAUUGAUCAUUAUAAAAAAAACAAUGCUACUAUGAUUGACUAUAACAUGAAUAUUUUCAAUAGUUAUGUAUCUAUAAAUAAUAAAAAAAUAUAUAUGAAGGAAAAGAAAAGAGAUGAUAGUGGUGACAAUUAUUAUGGUGAUGCUGAUGCUGAUGCUGAUGCUGAUGUUGAUGGUAAUGGUGAUGAUAAUGGUGAUGAUAAAAGUUAUGUUACUAACUAUACUUUACCAUUUAAAAAAAUAAAAAUAAAGCAUGAUAGUAGUAAUAAUAAACAAAAUAAUAUUAUUAAUAAUUAUACAUUAAUAAAUGAGGAAAAGCGUCUUUUAAAAAAUCAAACAAGUGAACAGUGUAUACUUGAUAGUAGCCAUACUAAAAACAGAAGUAUGAGCAAAAAUGUGAUCAGCAGUAGAACAAAUGAAUAUAUUACACACACAAUACAUAGACAAGAGUAUAAUAAUGUAAACAUGUGUAGCCAUAACUGUAUGUUCAAUAAAACUAAUAACGACGCUAUGCUAUUAAAUAAUUUUAAUAAUAAUUAUAAUCACAUCAAUGCCAGUGAAAAGGAGAAACGUUUUUUAAAAAAGCUAAAAAAAUAUAUUGAAUAUUUUAAAUACGGAAACGCUAGCACUGGUCAUAAUACGAAUAAAAAGGACAAAAUGAGAAAGUAUUUUUUAAAUGUGACAAGAAUAAAUAAAAUAUAUCAACAUUAUAUGCUUACAAAGGAUUACAACAAGUUAAAUGAAAUAAUUAUAAACAGUUAUAAUACUCGCGUUACGGACAAUAAUUAUUAUUGGGAUAGCGACAGUAGAAACAACAUACUAUGUUAUAGCAACAGAGACAAAAUAAUCAACAAUAGUGUGUAUCAUGACUAUUAUAACAAAUAUAAACAAAACUUAGAUAAAAUAAGUACAUGCGUUUUAUUACGAUUUGCUCA
rnacentral:lncRNA from 1 species